UACAGGGGGGGGCAAGCGUUGUUCGGAAUUACUGGGCGUAAAGGGCGCGUAGGCGGCCUGCUAAGUCGGACGUGAAAUCCCUCGGCUCAACCGGGGAACUGCGUCCGAUACUGGUGGGCUCGAAUCCGGGAGAGGGAUGUGGAAUUCCAGGUGUAGCGGUGAAAUGCGUAGAUAUCUGGAGGAACACCGGUGGCGAAGGCGGCAUCCUGGACCGGUAUUGACGCUGAUGCGCGAAAGCCAGGGGAGCAAACGGG
rnacentral:rRNA from 1 species